CCUACUUGCUACAGUGUCGUUAUUUAUGUACUUAUUAGAGUUUAUCAUUUCCUGGGAAGUUGUCUUUCAACAGAAUCAUGUGAACAAAAAUUACAGGAUCUUGUUAAGAUGGCUUUAGUAAUGUGGUUCUUGCGUUGCAUAAGUGUAAUCAGUUUAUGCUAAAUAGUGUUAGAAAUAUAAGCUUUCUUUAUAUAGAAACUUUUUAAACAGUUCUGUGAUUGUUUGACUCAGUUUUGUUUGAGGAUGCGUCAAAUAUGGACACCAGAAAAGAGAAAAUAUGCCAGGUUUUACAGUUUUUCUUCGAACAAGGCGAAAACGCAAGGCAGGAGACUAAAAAUAAGAAUGGAUUUUAAAGUCCUGAUACUGUAACAGCCAAUUACACACAAUUUUGGUUAUGUUGAUUGUCGUUUACGGUCAUUUUGAUGUCAAAGAUGCGCCCAAAAAGUGUAGUUGAGGGGGUGGGCAUCAAGGCUAUAUUGGUACCAAAAGUGUCAAAAAAAAAAAAUUCAAAAGACUCAUCCAAAAUAAUAUUGCAACGGAUGAUAUAGAUUUAUUUCAUUGGUGGUGUCAAAAGUGGCUUCUUCAACAUAAAAAGGCUCCUUCCACCCAAUUUUUUUGAUAGCUCUCUGGACUAUCUGGGGCCAAAUUCCGAGACAUGAGCCCUCUUGGAUUUGAGGGGAUUGGUCUGGUCUGUUUUCUUCAACUUUUUCGCAUCCAGUUUUGCCUUUUGACGGAGCUUUUCUUCCUCUCCAAUGUUUUGGACUUGCUGAUAGAGUAGGCAGUAGUCCUGGAAACAGCUAACUGCUGAAUGGAAAUUCAUCGAUCACGUUCAAGAGUAUUUUUCUCUACUUAUAUCUAAGUUAGAGGUUUGUUUUGUUCUGUAACUAAUUGUUUAUACUUUAAAAUCUUGAAAUAUGAAUUAAUUUCAAUCA
rnacentral:lncRNA from 1 species